rnacentral:tRNA from 1 species
CGUAUCGGGUGGCCGACGCGGACGUGGCCGCCUGGCGGGAGGCCGGGGGCGGCCGGUCCGACGCCGACCUCGUGCGGC